AUGGGGAGGAAGCCAUGCUGCGCCAAGGAAGGCCUGAACAGAGGGGCAUGGACGGCAAUGGAGGACGAGAUCCUGGUCUCCUACAUCAACGAUCACGGUGAGGGCAAGUGGGGGAGCCUCCCCAAACGAGCUGGGCUGAAUCGCUGCGGAAAGAGCUGCCGGCUGCGGUGGCUCAACUACCUCCGGCCGGGGAUCAAGAGAGGCAACAUCUCCGACGACGAAGAGGAGCUCAUCGUCAGGCUUCACGGGCUCCUAGGCAACAGGUGGUCGCUGAUCGCGGGGCGGCUGCCGGGGCGAACAGACAAUGAGAUCAAGAACUACUGGAACACCACGCUGAGCAAGAGGAACCAGCAGUCCCACGGCGCCGGCUGCUCGAACCACCCGCAGGCCAAGCCGCUGCCGCCGGCGCCGCAGGCCGGUGGCGAGGCACAGGCCCUGCCGGAGGGCACGAGCAGCAGUCCGAUACGGACCAAGGCGCUGCGGUGCACCACCACGGUGCUGGCGGCAGCAGAGGGGUUUCACGAGCAGGGCCGUGCGGCGCCGGAGCACGUUGCGGCGGAGGAUCAGCUGGGGGACUGCCUGUCGAUCGGCUCGAUCGACCUCGACCUGGAGGGCAUCGAGCUGGGCUUCAUGAUGAGCCCGUGGAGCGGCGGCGCCGACGGCGUGGGUGAUCAGCAUUUCGGUGCUCCCGGGGCUGAGGCUGAUGGUCUGGAGGAGCUGCUCGGGCUGGGCGUGGCCGGAGGAGGCGGCGACGGCCAUGGCGGACUCGGGGACCUGGAGUUGGCGUGGCUUUGCUAG
rnacentral:rRNA from 1 species